CUCGCUGAGCGGUCACUGGGUGCGGCCUUCUUCGGGCCGCUGAGGUGCAGGUGGAGAUUCCUGGGCUAGCGGUGCUGCACUCACAGCCAGCUUCCUAGCCUUCUCCGUGCAUACGCGCUGAACUGGUUCGAAGUAAAACGGGAGUGUUCUCCACAGUGCAGUGCUCAAACUAACAGAGGACGAGGGCUUAGAAAUACAAGGCCCCCACUUUCAUUUUCCCGCUCACCUUUUCAGGCCACCUCCAGACAGCUCAAGUCAGGACUGCUCUGCGACAGGUUCUAUCACCUUCCAGCAGUGCCACAGGCUAAGGACUAAACCCACACCUGGACCAUUGGCGGAUGUUUAAUAUCCACACUAUAGCAAGGCGUUUAAAGAGAAUGGGAGAAAAACAUUUUCCCAAAGAGACAAUGAAUAAAGAUAUAAUAUAAAGGAGUUCAAAGGUUAUAGAUCAUUAUUAUGCCUAUAAGGAGUGGUGCUGAAUCUGGUCUGUCAUUUCUCAAGAGCCUGGGAUCCCCCUGGAGAAAAAGCUGGGGAAACAGCUCUGAGCGUUCAAGCCUAUGGGAUUUCACUGCACCAGCAACCAAUACCUGCUGAGUCAGUUGAUUGAAGUCAGCUCUCGAACCUUUCACACACCAAAUUUAAAAUGGAUCUGACUAAUUGAGAAAGAAAUCACUGCAGCAAAAGCCCACUCACCAGAAUUAUAAUCCAAGGGUAGUUGUACCACAAUGCCAAUCAUUCAUGUGGACCUAGUUUCAAUCCUUUUCGUUUUUGUGCUUAGUUUUGUUUUUUUUAAAUGCUUUUUGGUGUGGGGAUUAUCUCAGUGAGAAAGCACUUGCUUAGUGUACGCAGGCCCUGGAUUUCAUACCCCAACACAGGAAAGGAAAAAAAAAAAAAGAUUUUCAACAUUGGAGGCUAAAGUAACAACUCUGAAUAACUGUAAAUCAAAAAUUAUGGGUUGUGCCUGGGCUUAGACACUGAAUAUUUGUUCGUGGUGGGGGAGAACUGCAAGAGGAAUGAUCUUAUUGUGUUAACCAAGACAUUUCCCAGCACCCUGAAGAGCUGGUGUUCUCAGCUAGAGAGCCUGAGAAAAUAGCCACUCAAUUAAGAUUAAUAUCUGAGAACAGAGAGGAUAAUGGUUUCAUUGAAUAUUCAAUUAGAAGCCAAACUUCUUCCUUCUGGUUGGAAAUGCCUUUUCAAUCUGAUAAAGAUUUUGACAUUGAAGAGUAAAGGGAAGAAAUAAAUACAGAUGAGACAAGUUUAUCAGAGUGGACUACAGAAUAUCCCUAGAAUCCUUGUGAGGUUAUAGAGAAAAAUAGAAG